UAGGGAAUCUUCCGCAAUGGGCGAAAGCCUGACGGAGCAACGCCGCGUGAGUGAUGAAGGUCUUCGGAUCGUAAAACUCUGUUAUUAGGGAAGAACAUACGUGUAAGUAACUAUGCACGUCUUGACGGUACCUAAUCAGAAAGCCACGGCUAACUACGUGCCAGCAGCCGCGGUAAUACGUAGGUGGCAAGCGUUAUCCGGAAUUAUUGGGCGUAAAGCGCGCGUAGGCGGUUUUUUAAGUCUGAUGUGAAAGUCCACGGCUCAACCGUGGAGGGUCAUUGGAAACUGGAAAACUUGAGUGCAGAAGAGGAAAGUGGAAUUCCAUGUGUAGCGGUGAAAUGCGCAGAGAUAUGGAGGAACACCAGUGGCGAAGGCGACUUUCUGGUCUGUAACUGACGCUGAUGUGCGAAAGCGUGGGGAUCAAACAGG
rnacentral:rRNA from 1 species